rnacentral:lncRNA from 1 species
AACCCCAGUGGACGCGUUUUAAGCAAAACCGUGCGGCCUUGAGCCAAAGCGGACAAUAUUCACUGGUGUGGACCCAGGACCCAGAUGACUCAACGUCAUCAAAUGGCGCCGUCUGUGGGAACGAAGGAGAUCUUUUCAUCACUGGAGUUCCACUCUUAACAAAACCCACUGAGAUCCACGAUGGCUAAUCACAAUGAAAGCAACCUUAACACCCCAAAUGACCUGAGCUC